rnacentral:ncRNA from 1 species
ACAAAGGUUUGGUCCUGGCCUUAUAAUUAGUUGGAGGUAAAAUUACACAUGCAAAUAUCCGCAAACCGGUGUAAAAUCCCUUAAAAGUUUAAUAAACUUCAAGGAGAGGGUAUCAAGCACAUUUUAAAUAGCUUAAGACACCUUGCCUAGCCACACCCCCACGGGAUUCAGCAGUGAUAAAUAUUAAGCAAUAAACGAAAGUUUGACUAAGUUAUACCUCUUAGGGUUGGUAAAUUUCGUGCCAGCCACCGCGGUCAUACGAUUAACCCAAACUAAUUAUUCUCGGCGUAAAAUGUGUUAACUACAAAUAAAAUAAUAGAAUUAAAAUCCAACUUAUAUGUGAAAAUUCAUUGUUAGGACCUAAAUUCAAUUACGAAAGUAAUUCUAAUAAUUGUAAUACACGACAGCUAAGACCCAAACUGGGAUUAGAUACCCCACUAUGCUUAGCCAUAAACUUAAAUAUUUAAUAAAACAAAACUAUUUGCCAGAGAACUACUAGCUAUAGCUUAAAACUCAAAGGACUUGGCGGUACUUUAUAUCCAUCUAGAGGAGCCUGUUCUAUAAUCGAUAAACCCCGCUCCACCUCACCAUCUCUUGCUAAUUCAGCCUAUAUACCGCCAUCUUCAGCAAACCCUAAAAAGGUAUCAGAGUAAGCACAAGAAUUUUACAUAAAAACGUUAGGUCAAGGUGUAGCCAAUGAGAUGGAAAGAAAUGGGCUACAUUUUCUUUUAAAAGAACAUCACCACACCCUUUAUGAAACGAAAGGAUAAAGGAGGAUUUAGUAGUAAAUUAAGAAUAGAGAGCUUAGUUGAAUAGAGCAAUGAAGUACGCACACACCGCCCGUCACCCUCCUCAAAUUAAAUUUCACCUUAAUAAAUAUUCAUAUACUAUCUAAUAUUUUAUCAACACAUUUAUGAGAGGAGAUAAGUCGUAACAAGGUAAGCAUACUGGAAAGUGUGCUUGGAAAAAC